CCUACGGGAGGCAGCAGUGGGGAAUAUUGGACAAUGGGCGCAAGCCUGAUCCAGCCAUACCGCGUGUGUGAAGAAGGCCUUUUGGUUGUAAAGCACUUUAAGCGAGGAGGAGGCUCUUGAGGAUAAUACCCUUGAUGAGUGGACGUUACUCGCAGAAUAAGCACCGGCUAACUCUGUGCCAGCAGCCGCGGUAAUACAGAGGGUGCGAGCGUUAAUCGGAAUUACUGGGCGUAAAGCGCGCGUAGGCGGCUUGUUAAGUCGGAUGUGAAAUCCCCGGGCUCAACCUGGGCACUGCAUUCGAUACUGGCAAGCUAGAGUAUGGGAGAGGAAGGUAGAAUUCCAGGUGUAGCGGUGAAAUGCGUAGAGAUCUGGAGGAAUACCGAUGGCGAAGGCAGCCUUCUGGCCUAAUACUGACGCUGAGGUGCGAAAGCAUGGGGAGCAAACAGGAUUAGAUACCCUGGUAGUCCAUGCCGUAAACGAUGUCAACUAGCCGUUGGGGACCUUGAGUCUUUAGUGGCGCGAGCGUAACGUCGAGUUAAGUUAGUACCGCCGUUGGGUAGGUUACGGUUCGGCGAGACGUUAAAACGUUAAAGUUAAGUUAGUUAGGACGNGAGAGAGCGACGGACGGACGACGACGGAGGAGGUAG
rnacentral:rRNA from 1 species